rnacentral:rRNA from 1 species
UACAGAGGUCCCAAGCGUUGUUCGGAUUCACUGGGCGUAAAGGGUGCGUAGGUGGUGAGGUAAGUCGGAUGUGAAAGCUCCGAGCUCAACUCGGAAAUGGCAUUGGAAACUACCUUGCUAGAGGGUUUGAGGGGGGACUGGAAUACUUGGUGUAGCAGUGAAAUGCGUAGAUAUCAAGUGGAACACCAGUGGCGAAGGCGGGUCUCUGGGCCGAUACUGACGCUGAGGAGCGAAAGCGUGGGGAGCGAACAGG